GGCCCCAUCGUCUAGUGGUCCAGGACAUCAGGUUCUCAUCCUGAAAACUGGGGUUCAACUCCCCAUGGGGUCA
rnacentral:tRNA from 1 species